rnacentral:rRNA from 1 species
UACAGAGGUCUCAAGCGUUGUUCGGAUUCAUUGGGCGUAAAGGGUGCGUAGGUGGCGGGGCAAGUUUGGUGUGAAAUCCCGGGGCUCAACCCCGGAACUGCACUGAAUACUGCUUUGCUAGAGUACUGGAGAGGGAACUGGAAUUUACGGUGUAGCAGUGAAAUGUGUAGAUAUCGUAAGGAAGAUCAGUGGCGAAGGCGAGUUUUUGGAUAGUUACUGACAUUGAGGCACGAAGGCCAGGGGAGCAAACGGG